AGUUCACGUGCUCGUGACUGAAUUCACCGCGUUCACGGAGUCUCUCGUCUUAAACAACAAAUAGUGUUUUAGCGACAUAAAUGAUGAAUUUCAUCGGAUCACAACCCUUCCUUUACACUCCAAAAUUCAUGUCCAAACUGGAUCUGUUCUCUGAUGAUCUGCUAAAAGUGUUUACCAAAAAGGGUGGAGUGUUAGAAAAAAGAUUCAAGAUGUGAUGCUGCCAAUGUCUCAGACCAAGCAAGAGUGCAUUCUCAAGGGGCUAUGCAUCUACCUGAAUGAAGAUGAAUAUGAUGGAGUAUUUGGAUGAUGACCCUGCAAGAACCGAAGCGGACAUAAAGAAGACCUUUUAGGGAUUCUGUGAUGUAAAGCAUGAAUUUGCUGAUUCAACAGAAGACCCUGAAGAUAUCUGCAUUGUGCUGGAAGAUGUGGAGGUGCUUUCUGGUUUAGGUAAUGUAGCAUUGGCUACAGCCAUGCUACUUGGACUAAUAUACUCUUUAAAUCUUACUCAUCCACAGUAGAUCCAUUACACUUUUAAGGUGCUCCAAAAAAUGAUUCUCGAGCUGAACUUGUGUAAAUUGUCUGCCAAAGCACAGGCGCAGAAAACAAAACUCUUCACUUGGGUGUGCUGUUUGAGGAUCCCUUUGUGAAUGCUGUUUUAUUUCCUUGUAUGCUCAUGUGAUUUUGUUGUAUCUGAAUUUUUGCACGAUGAGCAGAGGUGAUUACGUCUCUCAAUCACAUUUAAUAUCAUGUUUAAGAAAACAAAAUAAAAUAACAUUUUGUUAUAUUCUUAUAUGCUCAUGUUUUAUUUGCAUUGUCCUUUUUUUUACUUAAUGAGCAUGUUUAAUUGCCAAAUUUGCAGUUUUAAGCAAGAAGACACUCAAGGUUAAAUGUGCUCAUGUUUUAAAUACAGAUUUUUACUAAAUGGAUUGACUUAACAUAUUGACUUUCUUCACAGUAGACUAUAGGUAUACAGUAAAAAGGUUUUAAUGUAAUAGAACACAAUUAUUUCACUUUCAUUUGGAAGUAACUGUAGAGUCAAGUUAGGUAAGUGUAAUGAUUUAAAUUGUUUCUAGUAUGCAGUACAAAAAUGUUUGUAGUUGACAUUGCAUUGUUAGAUAUAGUAGAU